CAGAAUCCAACCAUUGUAGAAGUUCGGACGGAGUCGGCUCCUGUAGGAGUCCGGAAGGAGGCCGCUUACCAUAGAAGCCCAGAUGGAGAUCGGUUGUUGUAGAAGUUUGGAGCAGACCGCUUACUGUAGAAUUCCUACUGCUGGAGAAGCUCGAUCCUUGAUGAAGUUUGAAAGAGGUUCAGAGUAGAGAUCCUUCUAGUGGAGCCUGUUCAUUGUGGAAGCUCAUCUGUGGUCCAUCCACUGUAGAAGUUCAGAUGGAGCCCGACCCUUGUAGGAGUUCGGAUGAAGUCCACCUACAAUAGAAGUUCGGGGU
rnacentral:lncRNA from 1 species